rnacentral:ncRNA from 1 species
CCGGGCAAACGCGGGCGCCCGGUCAGACGCUUCGCGUCCAAGCGCCGC